rnacentral:lncRNA from 1 species
AGCGAAGGGGUGGGGUGGGAUCUUGGUCCAGCUGGUACUGGAGCGGCGACAAUUUUGGCUAGUCUAAGAAGGGCAUUCGAGUGACCGUUGACAACGGGUGGGACAGCGUCAGAGCUGGAGGGAGAGCCAGCACUGUAUGCUUCCAGGACUUCUUGCUAGGUGCAUUAGUUUUUAUUUUUAAGAGUUGGGUAAAAGACAUUAAUUAGUUAGCAUCUCACUCAUCGGCGAUUUUCUACGGUAUGAUUUCAUCCAAAGAGGAUUUCUUAAUCGCACUGUGUGACACCGUUAGGGGACUUAGAGUGUCACUCGCCGCCUUAAAUCCUUUCGGGAACAAGCCAGGAUAUAAAUAAAUAAAGCUAGGUGUGGGUCUUCCCUUCACAAGGCGCUGGUAGGCAGACUAAAGACAGGCAACAGCUGAGUGUGCACACAGAACUAAAUAUUGAACGAAAUACGAGUGUCGGAAUAAAAUUCAUUGCCAUGUGCACGGCUUAUGAUUAUACAGAUCUUGGACAUAUCACGGACCUGAACGUCAACCCUGCAACACCGGAUAAAACAUCUAAUGUAGCUGGAAUAGACUCUGAAAGGACGUUAGGCAUUAUCUAAAUCAAGUCCCUCAUUUUACAGAUGAGUAAACUGACUCAGUGAAGUAUUUUGCUCAAGGUCGUUCAUCAAAUUAGUAGUUUAAUUAACUCAGUGUUCUAGGAAGCAGGGUAGUAGAAAAGCAUGGGAUUCGGAGUCUGAAAUCUUCCUUGGUUUCUGGUCCUUGUAGGCUGUUUUACAAGUGUAUCUUGGGCAAAUCCCUUAACGUCUUGCCAUUUAUUAAGGGCUUACUUACCACGUGGCAAACAAUCCACUUUGCAUGCUGUGUCAAUUACAUGCAGUAUGUCGUGUAGUUAUUACUGUCCCCAUUUUAUGAGGUAGUUUAGGUUUAAAGAUAUUAGAAAUUUACCCAAAGUUACGCAGUUAUAAACAUUGUAGUAAUUUCAAACUCAGGUCUUCGUGACUGCAAAGGCUGCUGUCUUAAGUAUUGUAAUACAUUAGAGCUCCGGAUUCCCUCCCACUCAAAACAGAGACUGAGACUCCAACCAAUUUCCACCAUUAUUGGGAGUCAAACGAGAGAGACUGUGGCAAUGUAUUCUAAGCUGUACAAAGGUAUAAACAUAUUCACUAGAUUUGUAGAAUGAAGUUAUUCCUUCCCUAUACUUUCCACUACAACAAUUCAGCCAAAAAGAUGGCUUUCAUACUAAGCAUAAGAAGGAACUUCACUGUAAUUAUGAUAUUCUAACCAAGAAUAUAUGCAUAUCUAGGCAAUAACCAAAGUGAAUAGAAUAAAAUUUAAUUCCUGAUAGAUUAAAUAGGCAAUAGCAAGGAAUGCUAACGCUCCUCAUAGCGUUCUUGUUGGAAGAAUCAUCUAGGAGGCAUUGGGAUUUCUGGUGCUUUUUAAGCAAUGAGAGAUAUCAGUCCACUGAAUGAGGAAGAGAAUAACGUUUAGUUUCGGACUAAAAGUUCAUCUGGACUACGGAAAACACGUUUGCCUCAAUCAGUGAAGAAGGUAUGCUGAGAGCUGAAAGAAAAGGAAAGCAGCAACAGUGAGAGCUCAGAAAUUCCCAGACUGUUUUGAUGAUAAGGUCCAAGAACUUGCCAUGUGAUCCAUCACUACUAGACUCCCACAACUGCAUUAGAUUUGUUCAGGAUUUUCAUAUAAUUUUCAUAACUGGCUAAGUUCUGAAAUAACCCAUCUUGAAGACAUAAACAAUGUGCAUUGAUGGCUAGCCAGACUCUGUCCUGCCACAGUUCUCCUCCUACUCUUCAUUUCUUACCCCAAGGAGUAGUAAACAUGAAUCCUGACCCACCAAUGCAGUCCCAGAACUGAGAAAAGAUUCACUGCAGCUAAACAGAUUAUUUUUGCACCUUUGGAAAGCAACUGAAAAAGGAAGCCUGGAAAAAAUCCUGCCUAACAAAGCAGCAGUACUCAAAUAGCUUUAACUAUAAGAAAGAACUGAUUCAAGAUAUGAGAAGAGAUUUAAGAUAUAAGAUUAAAUAUAAGUGUAAAUGAUAUCCUCAUUUUUAUUGAAAUGCUGUGUAUUCCUAUUAUUUCAGUGAAAUGUUAAAUGGCAAAGGAUGCAUUUUUUAGAUUAUUUUUUUCACUGAAUUUUAAACAGUCUUUGAAGCAGAUAUUUCAUAUAACAAUAUCCAGAAACAAUAACACAUAUGUGGAUAAAGUUGAGUGGUUGGAUAAUGUAUUGUGCAAAUUAUCAAGAAGAAAACCAUCUUAAAGAAAUAUUUUAGCUUAACAGCAUCAAUAAAUGGGACACCUAGUUCACUUAAAAAAAUUGACAAUGAAUGUUUUCCUCCUUAUACCCCUGAAGGCCUUGGGUUUGGAAUGACAAAAUAUUCAAAUAUUUUGAAAUUAUCUACAUUUUAAAUAUUUAUUCAAGGAGAAUUGAAUCUUGAUUGACAAUUGUGCACAAAUUGCUGAAAUUCAAAAAUUCUAAAUCUCAUGUCAGAUAUUAGGAAAUUUUAAUUUUUCAUUUACUAAAACGGUAAAAAUGUAGACACUAGAAAAAAAUGAAGAAAUGACAAUGUCAUAGAUAAUCAACAAACUGAAUAAUUAGGUGGAAUUACUCAACCCCCAGAUUAGUCCAUUUUCAUGCUGCUGAUAAAGACAUACCCAAGACUGGGCAAUUUA